rnacentral:misc_RNA from 1 species
AAGAAUCAACUCAUUGCCUGUUACAGAUGGUUCAUCGCCUCUAAUUCCACUCGGUAGUCAUUUUACCUCACUCAUGUGCUGCACCUGCAUGUCCAAAGAAGAAUCGCCUUUGGUAUGGGUUUGUCUUGCCUGCGCUACACGUGUGAGACUGGGGAGGACGGUGUUCAGGAGUGGAAACGGUGCUGUUUGAGAAUAGAAGAGUUUGGGGCUUUGGGAUUAUAAAAAAAUGAUGGUUUUUAAUCAAACUAAUUUGGUUCAGUUCAAUUUGGUUCUUCUUUCAAUUCGGUUUGAUUAGCAUUUAAUAUGAAUUUCGAUUUUUCAGUUUCUGUUUGGUUUGACCAAUUGCACACGCCUAGUGGCCCACCGUCCAUGUCUUGAUUGGCUUGUGCAAUUAAGUCUGCAAUAUACAAUAUACUGAGUGUGUAUUUCACUUUGCAUGUAAACAAGAUUACAUAUAUUUUUCAAUGUAGUUUUCAGAUAACUGGAGUGUGAAGGCAAUUAGGAGAAAGAAAACUGGAACUGGAAGAAUGAGGUAUUUGCGCCAUGUACCUCGCAGGUUCA